GAUGAAGAACGUAGCGAAAUGCGAUAAGUAAUGCGAAUUGCAGAAUUUCCGUGAGUCAUCGAAUCUUUGAACGCACAUUGCGCCCACUGGUAUUCCGGUGGGCAUGCCUGUUCGAGCGUCAUUAUCCUCCCUCAAACCCCGGGUUUGGUGUUGGACCCAAGUUGUGUGAACAACUGGUCUCAAAGACAAUGACGGCGUCCGUGGGACCCUCGGUGCAACGAGCUUUUAGGAGCACGCGCCGAGUUGCAAGGACCUUCCGGGCCGGUCUCCUUUACCUAUUUUACAAGGUUGACCUCGGAUCAGGUAGGAAUACCCGCUGAACUUAAGCAUAUCAAUAAGCGGAGGA
rnacentral:misc_RNA from 1 species